CCUGAGACCCCAGAAGACGAGCCCGACAGGUCCCGUCUUUUUACCCUCGGGUAGGAGGAAGAGCCGGGCUCGCCCACCACCAUCCCGUGUCGGAGAGGUCGCGGGAGAGGGUGGAGCUCCGCCUUCGUGACGUCGGGUUGCCUGGGCAACCGGUCGCCGCGGCCGCCAUUUUGAGAGAGGUUGGACCUGGCGGUUUCGGUGACCACCGGCGACCAUUUUGAGACAGGCCUGAAACGUGGAGAGAGAGAGAGACCCUCGACGGCCAUUUUGAGACUAUCCUGAAAGAUGCGACAGACAAACCCCGGGCAGUCGCGUUGGAAGAGGCGAUGGAAUAGCGCGAUGACUCCUGUAAGCUCCUUGUGCCGGAUUUCAGAAGGGGAGGAUUCAUAGGCGGGGAACUCAAACCAAAAUGUCACGUCAGGAUCGGACAGAGUGACUCGGUUAAUUGGGACCUGAACGCCAUCAGCCUUUGACCGUAGAAGGAGAAUUGCUUUUCUGUUGGUAAAGACUUCAAACAUCAGUGUGACUGAGAAAUCACUGAAGCAUGCACAUGGGUUGGUGAUAAAGACCUUUCAAAGCCUGAAAGGAACAGCAUUCACAUCAGUCGGAAAUCACUCUGACUGGACGAGGCUUCAGCUGGUUAUGGGACUUGGAGGGAUUCAAGGAUAUAUGCCAUGGAGAAACCCUGGAAAUGUGGGGAUUGUGGGAAGGGAUUUAAUUACCCAUCUGAACUGAAGAUUCAUCGGCGCACUCACACCGGUGAGAGACCUUUCACAUGCUCUGUCUGUGGGAAAGGAUUCACACACUCUUCCCAUCUUGCGACACACCAGCGUGUUCACUCCAACAACAAACCUUUUAAUUGUUCUGACUGUGAUAAAUGCUUCAAAAGCAAAAAGGAUCUGAUAACGCACCAAUAUACUCACACUGGGGAGAGGCCAUUUGCUUGCACAGUGUGUGGGAAGGGAUUUGCACGUUCGUCCACCCUGGUGAAACACCAACGGGUUCACACCGGCGAGAGACCAUUCACUUGCUCCGUGUGUGGGAAGGGAUUCAGUAAUUCGUCAAAUCUUCUGACACACCAGCAGGUUCACACAGGGGACAGACCAUUUAUCUGUUCCAUAUGUAGGAAGGGAUUCACUCGUUUAUCCCACCUACAGACACACCAGCGAGUGCACACUGGGGAGAGGCCAUUCACCUGCUCUGAGUGUGGGAAAGGGUUCACUCAGUCAUCCAACUUGCUCACACACCAGCGAAUUCACAAGUAACAGCAGGGCUUAGACUCUGUUAGUACUGUUUUUAAUCACAUGCAGUACUAAUUACAUUAAUUCUGAGUUUGUUCCCAGUUUGGGGAACAGUUAGUUCAGUUGGCUGGAGGCUGGCCACGACAGGCACUGGUUUCGGUUCCUGUACUGGUUGAGAUCACCUUGAAAGUCCCACCUCCUGAACCUUGCCAUCUGACGGAUGGCAAACCUCAGACUAAACCAUCACCAUCUAGAAAGAUUCUUAGAGAUGUACAGCACAGAAACAGGUCCUUCGGUCCAACUUGUCCAUGCUGACCAAAUAUCCUAAAUUAAUCUAGUCCCGUUUGUCAGCAUUUGGCCCAUAUCGCUCUAACCCCCUCCUAUUCAUAUAUUCAUCCAGAUGCCUUUUAAAUGCUGUAAUUGUACCAGCCUCCACCACUUCCUCUGGCAGCUCAUUUCAUGCACACGCCAUCCUUUGCAUGACAAAAGUUGCCCCUUAGGUUGCCCUUAGGUCCUUUUAAAUCCUUCCCUUCUCACCCUAAAUCUGUGCCUUCAACUUGAUUCCCCCACCCUAGGAAAAAGACCUUGUCUAUUUACCCAAUCCAUGCCGCUCAUGAUUUUAUAAACCUCUAUAAAGUCACCCCUCAGCUUCUGACACUCCAGGAAAAGCAGCCCCAGCCUACUCAACCUCCAUUUGUCACUCAAACCCUCCAAACCUUGCAACAUGCUUGUAAAUCUUUUCUGAACCCUUCCAAGUUUUGCAACAUCCUUCCUAUAGGAGGGAGACCAGAAUUGCACACAAUAUUCCAAAAGUGGCCUAACCAAUGUGCUGUACAGCUGCAAUGUGACCUCUCAACUCCCACACUCAAUUCUGUGACCAAUAAAGGAAAGCAUACCAAUUGCUUUCUCCACUAUCCUAUCUACCAUCGAUUCCACUUUGAAGGAACUAUGAACCUGCACUCCAAGGUCUCUUGGUUCAGCAACACUCCCUAGGACCUUAUCAUUAAGUAUAUAAGUCCUGCCCUGGUUUGCCUUUCCAAAAUGCAGCAUUUAUCUAAAUUAAACCUCAUCUGCCACUCCUUGGUCCAUUGGCCCAUCUGAUCAAGAUCCUGUUGAACUCUGAGGUAACCUUCUUCGCUGUCCACUACAUCUCUUAUGUUCACAUCCAAACCAUUUAGAAAAUGACGAAAAGCAGUGGACUCAGCACUGAUUCUUGUAGCACAUCACUGUCACAGGCCUCCAGUCUGAAAAGAACCCUCUGAAGUCACCCUGUCUUCUUCCUUUGAGCCAGUUAGGUAUCCAAGUGGCUAGUUCUACCUGUAUUCUAUGGGUUGUAAGCUUGCUAACCAGUGUACCAUGAAACACUUUGUCGAAUGCCUUAUUGAAGCCCAUAUAGAUCACGUCCACUGCUCUACCCUCAUUAAUCCUCUUUGUUACUAAUUCAAAAAAACUCAAUCAAGUUAGUGAGACAUGAUUUCCCAUGCACAAAGCCAUGUUGUCUAUCCUUAAUCAGUCCUUGCCUUUCCAAAUACAUGUAAAUCUUGUCCCGUAGGAUUCCCUCCAACACCCUACCCACCACUGAUGUCAGGCUUACCAGUCCAUAGUUCCCUGGCUUGUCCUUACUACCUUUCUUCAAUUGAGGCAGCAUGUUAGCCAACUUCCAGUCUUCUCGCACCUUUGAUUAUCUCAGCAAGGGGCCUAGCAAUCACUUCUCACAGAGUUCUAGAGGACGCCUGAUCAGGUCCUGGAGAUUCAUCCACCUUUCUGCAUUUUAAGACAUGCAGAACCACCUCCUCUGUAAUAUAGACAUUUUUCAAGAUGUCGCCAUAUAGUUCCCCACAUUCUAUGUCCUUCUCCACAGCAAACAUUAAUGCAAAAUACUUGUUUAGUAUCUCUCCCAUCUCCUGAGUUAGCACACGUAGGCUGCCUUGCUGAUCCUAGUUACUCUUUUGUCCUUAAUAUAUUUAUAAAAUCUCUUUGGAUUCUCCUUGACCCUAUUUAUUGAAGCUAUCUGAUGUCCCCUUUUUGCCCUCCUGAUUUCCCUUUUAUGUGUACUCCUACUGCAUUUAUGCUUUCCUAAGGAUUCACUCGAUCUCUACUGUCUACACCUGACAUAUGCUUUUUUUUUAACCAAAACCUAGCCAUGUCUUUCACCCUAAUAGGAAUAUACUGUCUGUGGACUCCCAUUAUCUCAUCUUGAAGGCUUCCCAUUUUUCAGCCGUCCCUUUACCUGCAAACAUCUGCCCCUAGUCAACGUUUGGAGGUUCUUGUCUAAUACCAUCAAAAUUGGCCUUCCUCCAAUUUAAAAAUUUAACUUUUAGAGCCAGUCUAACCUUUUCCAUCAUCACUAUUUUAAAAUUAAUGGAAUUAUCAUUACUGGCCUGAAAGUGCUCUCCUACUGACACCUCAGUCACUUACCCUGCCUUACUUCCCAAGAGUAGGUCAAGUUUUGCACCUUCUCUGGUAGGUAUAUCUACGCUCUGAUUCAGAAAAUUUUCUUGUGCACACUUAAAUUCUUCUCCAUUUUAAACCUAACACUAUGGUCAUCCCAGUCUAUGUUUGGAAAGUUAAAAUUCCUGAUCAUUACGACCCUAAUAUUCUUUCAGACAACCGAGAUCGCCUUACAAAUUUGUUUUUCAACUUCCUGAUCACGAUUGUGGAAUCUAUAUUACAACCCAAUAAGGUUUUCAUCCCUUUCUUAUUUCUCAGUUCUACCCAAAUAACUUCCCCGGAUGUAUUCCCAGGAUAUCCUCCUGUAAGCCCAACCAUAAUGUUAUCUUUUAUCAAAAACGCCACUCUUCCACCUCUCUUGCUCCCCUUUCUAUCCUUGCUAUCACAUUUCUAUCAUGGAACAUUAAGCUACCAAUCCUGUCCAUACCUGAGCCACAUCUCUGUAAUUGUUAUGACAUUCCAGUUCCAUAUUCCUAACCAUGCCAUGAAUUCAUCUGCCUUCCCUGUUAGGCCUCUUGCAUUGAAAGAAAUGCAGUUUAAUGAAUCCAUCCUACCUCGGUCUGUGCCAUGUUCCUGUCUGCCCUGACUGUUUGACUUGCCCCUUUUCCCAACUAUACCAGUUUCAGAGUGAUCUCAUUUCUCACUAUGUCUUUGGGGUUCCCCCCCCCCCCCCCCACACACACACACACCCCAUUUUACUAGUUUACAUCCUCCAGAACAGCAAAUCUCCCUGCCAGUAUGUUAGACCCCUUCCAAUUCAGGUGAAAUCCAUCCUUCUUGUACAGGUCAUGUCUACUCCAGAAAAGAUUUCAAUGAUCCAAACAUAUGAAUACUUUUCCCGUGCAUUAGCUCAUCAGCUACACAUUCAUCAGCUUUAUCCUCCUAUUUCUGCCCUCACUUAGGCGUAGCACCAAGAGUAAUCCAGGUAUUAUUACCCUCAAGGACCUUUUUAAAUUCCUGCCUAACCUGUUCUAUUCUCCCUUCAGAAUCUCAUCCUUUUUCCUUCCUAUGUCCUUAGUUCCAAUGCAUACAAAGACCUCCUGCUGGUCCCACUCCCUUUGAGAAUAUCCUGUACUCUCUCCGAGAUACCUUGAUCUUUGCACCAAGGUUCUGAUAACGCACUACCAUCUUCACACUGGGGAGAUGCCAUUCACUUGCACUGUGUGUCAGAAGGGAUUUAUGCAUUCAUCCAGUCUGGUGAUCAACUCAUUCAUCUACCAUCAGUCUCUUGCAAAUGAGAGCAAUGGUAUGAUUUUCUGGUGGUUUCUAGAGAUUUCACACCACCACCCCUAAAAAUAACUGGGUUGAAGUUUCAUGCUCUGGUUAAAUAUGAAAUAAAUCAUCUUUUAUUUAAA